rnacentral:lncRNA from 10 species
CACGCCGGCUGAGUCAGCAGCGGCAACCCGCUAGGGUCCCUUUCCAUGUUGUGGAAGCUUUUUUCUUUCGCUCUUCACAAUAAAUCUUGUUGCUGCCCACUCUUUGGGUCCAUGCCAGCUUUUAUGAGCUGUAACACUCACCUCGAAGGUCUGCAGCUUCACUCCUGAAGUCAGCCAACCACAAACCCGCCAGAAGGAAGAAACUCCAGACACGUCCGAACAUGGGAAGGAACAAACUCUAGACACACCAUCUUUAAGAACUGUAACACUCACCACCAGGGUCCGCGGCUUCAUUCUUGAAGUCAGCGAGACCAAGAACCCACCAAUUCCGGACGCAAGCUGGUUAUUUUGAGAAACUCCAGACACAGGAGUAGCUCUGAAAACAAGGAUGAAGGUUGCCCUUUGGUAAGGGAAAUUUACAUCUAUGAAGAAAAUAUCUGGGGGGUGUCUCCUCUGCACCGGGAAGAGAGGGAUGACUAAACCACUAGAGGCUCUUAACGGAGAAAGAGAAAUGAUGGUAUUUCAGCCUGAAGUCUAAGACUAAGAUCUACUCUAGAGAUUUACUAAUUUCUCUGGAUUAUCACCAAUGUAUACAAGAGCUUUCUUCCAGCAACAUGCCUUUCAUCUGGGAUCUGCUUACUCCGCUCAGAAAGUGCAUGGAUGAGAUUCCAUCCUGAUCCACAAGGCUGUGAAGCUGAGAGCUGGAUAUAUAUAAAGUUUAGAGCUGCUGUAACCCUCUUGCAAUCUCAGAGGAGCUCCUGGAAUUGCAAGAUAGACUGCAUGGAGCCUGAAGAUGAAGCCCUCAUAGCAAGAGGCGGAGUGAAGAGACAGAGAAAUGGAGUCAUUAAGGACAUUGGUUAAGUCCUUGUUUUCAGUAGUGCCUGUAAUCAGCCAUUCUGGUGGAUUUUUCAGUUACUUGACUUUAAUAAUAAACAGUUGCGCUGUAAUCAUAAAUACCUCCUAAAUGCUCACGUGCUUACAACAACAAAAAUUAUCUCUUGCUGAUGCUACAUGGGCUACCUGCAGCGCUGCUUUAUUGUUGUUUUUAAUCUGGGACUCAGUAAAAUAGAGCAGUCUCUCUCUAGAAAAUCACCUGUUGUAACGGAGGAAAAGAAAAGUAGGAAAAGAAGUGCUCGCUCUAAACUAUCUGCCUGAAGUUGCUUGCUUCCCACUUGCAUAUAAUUGGCCAGAACAAAUCACAUGGUCAAGAUUGAUGUCACAGGGUGGAGAGGGGCAGCAAAGUUUUUUGAAAAAUAAUAAUGCAAUCUACAAGUAAAUUUCCCU